CGCCCGCAAGACUGUAAAUGGUAUUUCAUUAUUCUCCAAGUAAAAUAGUCUACAUCAGGUGGAUUCACAAUGCAACAACUUUCAGCCAUUAUCGCUCAUUAAUAGUGAUAGCGACAACAGUUGAAAACAUAUAUAUUGCGAUCCAAGCAAAUUAAAUAGAUUCAGACUUGAAACUUUUGGACUUGCGAGGAAACACCCUCAUAAUUCCUCAACCAUGACUCUGGGAUUUACAACAAAGCAACAAAAACCACCUUAGGCAAGCAUGCCAUGCUCUACACUCCAUCCACCACAACUGAAGGGGAAAGCUAUGGGUAUUGGAAGUCAGACCAACCACGUCCACACAUCACUAUAAAUCACAACAUAAUAAUGGAAAUGCAAACACAAAAAAAGCAAUGAAAUUCCAUUUUUAACUAAACACAACAAUAGAUAAUCAGGUCUCAUCCUUUCCCCUGAACAAGAUGUAGUGGGGUAUCAUCUGCAUCACUCUGCAUCCUCUGUCCCACCUAAUUUGGCAGUGCCAUUGAUUUUCUGAGUAUCUUCUCCAUCCUCUGGGAUGUCAGAAG
rnacentral:misc_RNA from 1 species